CCUACGGGUGGCAGCAGUGAGGAAUAUUGGUCAAUGGACGAGAGUCUGAACCAGCCAAGUAGCGUGAAGGAUGACUGCCCUAUGGGUUGUAAACUUCUUUUAUAUGGGAGUAAAAUGUGCUACGUGUGGAAGUUGGUAUGUACCAUAUGAAGAAGGAACGGCUAACUCCGCGCCAGCAGCCGCGGUAAUACGGAGGAUCCGAGCGUUAACCGGAUUUAGUGGGUUUAAAGGGAGCGUAGGUGGAUUGGUAAGUCAGUUGUGAAAGUUUGCGGCUCAACCGUAAAAUUGCAGUUGAAACUGGCAGUCUUGAGUGCAGGAGAGGUGGGCGGAAUUCGUGGUGUAGCGGUGAAAUGCUUAGAUAUCACGAAGAACUCCGAUGGCGAAGGCAGCUCACUGGACUGCAACUGACACUGAGGCUCGAAAGUGUGGGUAUCAAACAGGAUUAGAUACCCCUGUAGUC
rnacentral:rRNA from 1 species